GUUGUCCAAGUUUUUAGACCCUUUAAAGUCUCCUUGGAAGGACUGGGUAGAAAUAUUGGAUGCUAACACAAACAUUCCGGAAUCCCAAUUGGAAGAAGUUCGGAUUGGUUGGAAGUUGUGGAAAGAAGAGCUAGAGAGUCGAAAAAAGGUGGCAGCAUAAUUGUCGUGAGAGAAGUACAUUAGUUGGAAGCACCAAGGUAGGAGAAUUGAAGUGGCAUCAUAAGGAGCAGCACCAGUUAGAAACUGGGAGGUGAUUCUUUUCAGUGAUUUUUUGUAACGUUGUCCAGGAAGUUCUGGGGUUUCAUCAAGCUUCCGAAAAUCAGAAAGGCUCCAAGUCUCACUCUUCCGUAAUGAAGUUCUGAACGUGUGAAUGUUUUAUUGAUUCGGACACUAGUUGAUCUGCCAUCAUCUGUUAUAGCUCAAACGUUAAAAAUCACAGAAUCGAGCAGAAAUUCACAUCCUUUUCUUUGUUUCGAUCCGCUUUUUUUUUUUUUUUUUUUAAAAUUAUUAUAUGCAUUAUUUCCACAUUGUUGUCAUUUAUCUUGUCAUACUGGCAGGUUUGGUGCA